CCACUUUCCCCUUCAUGGCUAAAGUGAAAGGAGUUUCUGUACUAGAGGGGCGUCUCUGGGGACUUCUAUCUAAGGGCGUACUCACACUAUGCCAUCUGUACCGUGCCCGAGCACGUUUAACCCCCAAUGCCAGGUUUGUUUGGCCAGUGCGAUCGCUCGUACUAACCUCGACAACCCAGCUGUGCGUUAACAUUGCUAUCCUUAUUAGUUAGGCUCUUUACAUGCUUGCUAAUAACUUUUUUUAAGGUAGAGCUGCACAUUGACAGCUUUAUGUUAUGUGCAGCUGUGUUCACGAGAGAGAGAGGGAGCGAUCGAGGUGCUGAGCGAAUAUGUGCUCUGCAAUCAAAUACGAUUGUAAAUAGGCCCAGUAAAAAAGCGCUGGUACUCUGGCAAAUCGCCACAAAUAAUCAAUGUGUGGGAAACACUGGUGUGAUGACGUAAAUGUGCUCCGGCUUGGAUCGUUUAGUUGCAGUGUGAGCGCAGGCCAACGGGGGAGUGGGGAGGGGGGACAAUCGUGCUCGGGCACGGUACAAGGCAAACGGGCCUAGUGUGAGUACGACCCAAGAGGAAUAUAUAUUGGACUAAUUUGUAGAUACCAAUCGUUUCCCUUCAAUAUAAAAGGAAUGUGGAGUUAAUUGGCCACUUCCAAAAUGGAGACUAUAUCCAGCCUGCAGAGCUUCGCCAACCUCCUUUUCUUUCAGCCUUUCUGUCGUACAACAGAGGUACUCCAUAAGUAGGCCACGACAUGUUGUGUUCACAUUUCUGUGUGCGUGUCAUCCAUUGUGAGUGUAUGAGAUAAUACAACAUAGCGUCAGGGUAUCGGCGAAGUAGGCUAAAGCUUACACCUGGUAAAAUGAGAACCAUUUGUGGGAAACCUUUGUUAUUAAGGCCUGUUCCCGGAGGACCAGCAAAUCCAUGCGUGUCCAUACAAACAAGUUGAAUUUCAGAACCCAAUAAAUAGUCUUAAGACAUUUUAUGGCCUCUUCCAAGGGCUUCACCUUGUAAUAUGACAAGUCUUAGCUUGUGUGUAAAAUCAAUUAAAAGGAGAAGUGCAGCAUUUCCAGGUGAGAGUGGAAUGAUUGACUGGAAAAAGUCGUGACUGCUCUGUACAACCAGCCUGCUAAAGUACAAAAAUGGAAAAUGUAUUCAAGCACUUAUUGUUGCAUAAUCUUUUAUAACAAGUAUGGCCUUCAUCAGGUAAUCCCUGACAAAUGAAGUGAGAGAAAUGUACCUCCAUACUGAAGAAUUGAGAGCUUAAGUCCAGUGUAAGGAUUGAUUCUUUUUACAGGUUCUGUAUCUGGAAAGGGACUCAUGAGUUUCAUGAGUGACCCCCCCAAAGCUACCAGACAGUUUUAGUAGGGUGGUCAAUUUAACAACAACUCGGUCUCCCUGCCAGGAUUACAACCACUGAGAUGUCACUCAGUAAGGCCUAUUUAACCCCCAACUUUCCAGUAAGUCUGCCCAACAUCACUCAUUUGGGAACUGGGAUAGUUCCACGGAGAUAAUGUGGAGCAGAAAUAGCAAAAACAAAAAUUUGAGGAACUCAUGGUGAAGUAUAUCCUUUUGCAUAGGAAGCAAUCAACAAUCACACCUGUGAAAUAAUGGUCUUGGGAAAGCAGCAGAAAGAAGUGACAGCCUCCUGACGCGUUGUUGUUUGUGUCAAUGUGCCAGUCUAGAAAACCACAGAGGGGGAAGUGAGGCGUGGGCAGAUGCGCCUGUGGCGCUCAGGCCUCCAUCCCUCUGCCAGGCCUCCCUUCCCCCUACUCCUUCAUUUUCCCCUCUUUGUUAGUCCCUCUUUCUUAAAGUCUUCUUCUGUUGAAACGCACCAACGCAAACAUGGUUGUUUCCUUUUAGUGCUAUGUGUUUAAGCCUUAAAUUAUUGAAUGCUUUGCAGUCCUGUGGCCGACAGCAGAAGACUUUGGUUGCACCAGGCAGCUCUCAGGUGUGACUGUGUAAUUGUAUACUAAGUAAAGUCCUUAAUUAAUAAAUGCAUAUCAUGCAGCCCUGUUAAAACAAA